GACGAACGCUGGCGGCGUGCUUAACACAUGCAAGUCGAACGGAAAGGCCCUGCUUUUGUGGGGUGCUCGAGUGGCGAACGGGUGAGUAACACGUGAGUAACCUGCCCUUGACUUUGGGAUAACUUCAGGAAAAUGGGGCUAAUACCGGAUAGGAGCUCCUGCUGCAUGGUGGGGGUUGGAAAGUUUCGGCGGUUGGGGAUGGACUCGCGGCUUAUCAGCUGGUUGGUGGGGUAGUGGCUUACCAGGGUUUUGACGGGUAGCCGGCCUGAGAGGGUGACCGGCCACAAUGGGACUGAGAUACGGCCCAGACUCCUACGGGAGGCAGCAGUGGGGAAUAUUGCACAAUGGGCGGAAGCCUGAUGCAGCAACGCCGCGUGCGGGAUGACGGCCUUCGGGUUGUAAACCGCUUUCGCCUGUGACGAAGCGUGAGUGACGGUAAUGGGUAAAGAAGCACCGGCUAACUACGUG
rnacentral:rRNA from 1 species